UGGGGGGGGAAGAAAAGACUUCAGGGGCUUUCCAGCUGUUGAAAACAGAUGGCUGUAAACAAAAGACUUAAGAGCUAAUACUUAUAUUUCCAAAAGCCUUUGCUUUGUUCAGGUCACAGCUCUGCUGCUGCAGUGGGGGGAGAGAUUGCAAAGUACAGCUCGUUCCCAGUCAGUGCUAAUCUUGGAGAUGAAGAGCACCUUUGUCUGAAGAGUGCCACCAGUGCUGUUUGGGGCUGGCACUCUUUGGAGGAGGAGGAGGAGGCGUCAGCUUAGCAAACAUGGACUGGGAGGCUAUUCUGAGAAUAGCAGGCAGCCUCAAAAGCGGAUCUGCAGUGAGAAGCAGGCAGAAGAGAUGACUGAUGAGCAGAGGGGAGAGGCAGGUGGCACUUCAGGGAGCUAUUCAGAGAUGUUUCGGAAUAUUUAAAAAUAGACAUUUCAGAGCCACGUGUGCUGUCAGCGCAUCCCAAACUUCGCAGCAGGGUUACAGGGACUGCGCCACGUGCUGAGACGGAGGCGAUGCGGGAGCGCAAUGUGGUGCAGUGGGAAAGAAGAGGCCCAGGUGGGGAUGUGCUGUGUGCCACCAGGGCUGUGCCUUCGUGCCUUCCUCCCACGCCAAAUAUUUUGGGAGCGCUUUGUCAGUUGUUACAGUAUGAAGAGCUUCAACAAAGACUGAGAGGGAUACAGACCCCGAGUCAGGAGUUCAUCCAUAUUCAGCAGUGUUGUUUCUGAAUCAAAGCUAUAGUCCCACAGAGCUCCCGCCCAGAGGACAGCAGGUAACCAGCACAGGCUGAGCACACCUCAGUGCCUCCUGCAAACAGUUGUAGAAAUGCACAAUCACAACCCGUUUCUAGAAAGUCAUGUCAGACUAACAAAUAACACGAUUCUUUUAAACCGAU
rnacentral:lncRNA from 1 species